rnacentral:rRNA from 1 species
GACCGAUAGUGAACCAGUACCGUGAGGGAAAGGCGAAAAGAACCCCGGCGAGGGGAGUGAAAAAGAACCUGAAACCGUGUACGUACAAGCAGUGGGAGCCUCUUAAUGGGGUGACUGCGUACCUUUUGUAUAAUGGGUCAGCGACUUAUAUUCUGUAGCAAGGUUAACCGAAUAGGGGAGCCGAAGGGAAACCGAGUCUUAACUGGGCGUUAAGUUGCAGGGUAUAGACCCGAAACCCGGUGAUCUAGCCAUGGGCAGGUUGAAGGUUGGGUAACACUAACUGGAGGACCGAACCGACUAAUGUUGAAAAAUUAGCGGAUGACUUGUGGCUGGGGGUGAAAGGCCAAUCAAACCGGGAGAUAGCUGGUUCUCCCCGAAAGCUAUUUAGGUAGCGCCUCGUGAAUUCAUCUCCGGGGGUAGAGCACUGUUUCGGCAAGGGGGUCAUCCCGACUUACCAACCCGAUGCAAACUGCGAAUACCGGAGAAUGUUAUCACGGGAGACACACGGCGGGUGCUAACGUCCGUCGUGAAGAGGGAAACAACCCAGACCGCCAGCUAAGGUCCCAAAGUCAUGGUUAAGUGGGAAACGAUGUGGGAAGGCCCAGACAGCCAGGAUGUUGGCUUAGAAGCAGCCAUCAUUUAAAGAAAGCGUAAUAGCUCACUGGUCGAGUCGGCCUGCGCGGAAGAUGUAACGGGGCUAAACCAUG